AGACGGUGAGAGCCCGGUACGCGAAAACCCGGCACCUGCCUAGUAUCAAUUCCCGAGUAGCAGCGGGCCCGUGGAAUCCGCUGUGAAUCCGCCGGGACCACCCGGUAAGCCUAAAUACUCCUCGAUGACCGAUAGCGGAUUAGUACCGUGAGGGAAUGGUGAAAAGUACCCCGGGAGGGGAGUGAAAGAGUACCUGAAACCGUGUGCCUACAAUCCGUCAGAGCCUCCUUUUCCUCUCCGGAGGAGGGUGGUGAUGGCGUGCCUUUUGAAGAAUGAGCCUGCGAGUCAGGGACAUGUCGCAAGGUUAACCCGUGUGGGGUAGCCGCAGCGAAAGCGAGUCUGAAUAGGGCGACCCACACGCGCAUACGCGCGUGUGAAUAGUGGCGUGUUCUGGACCCGAAGCGGAGUGAUCUACCCAUGGCCAGGGUGAAGCGCGGGUAAGACCGCGUGGAGGCCCGAACCCACUUAGGUUGAAGACUGAGGGGAUGAGCUGUGGGUAGGGGUGAAAGGCCAAUCAAACUCCGUGAUAGCUGGUUCUCCCCGAAAUGCAUUUAGGUGCAGCGUUGCGUGGUUCACCGCGGAGGUAGAGCUACUGGAUGGCCGAUGGGCCCUACUAGGUUACUGACGUCAGCCAAACUCCGAAUGCCGUGGUGUAAAGCGUGGCAGUGAGACGGCGGGGGAUAAGCUCCGUACGUCGAAAGGGAAACAGCCCAGAUCGCCGGCUAAGGCCCCCAAGCGUGUGCUAAGUGGGAAAGGAUGUGCAGUCGCAAAGACAACCAGGAGGUUGGCUUAGAAGCAGCCACCCUUGAAAGAGUGCGUAAUAGCUCACUGGUCAAGUGAUUGUGCGCCGAUAAUGUAGCGGGGCUCAAGCACACCGCCGAAGCCGCGGCACAUCCACCUUGUGGUGGGUGUGGGUAGGGGAGCGUCCCUCAUUCAGCGAAGCCACCGGGUGACCGGUGGUGGAGGGUGGGGGAGUGAGAAUGCAGGCAUGAGUAGCGACAAGGCAAGUGAGAACCUUGCCCGCCGAAAGACCAAGGGUUCCUGGGCCAGGCCAGUCCGCCCAGGGUGAGUCGGGACCUAAGGCGAGGCCGACAGGCGUAGUCGAUGGACAACGGGUUGAUAUUCCCGUACCCGUGUGUGGGCGCCCGUGACGAAUCAGCGGUACUAACCACCCAAAACCGGAUCGAUCACUCCCCUUCGGGGGUGUGGAGUUCUGGGGCUGCGUGGGAACUUCGCUGGUAGUAGUCAAGCGAAGGGGUGACGCAGGAAGGUAGCCGUACCAGUCAGUGGUAACACUGGGGCAAGCCGGUAGGGAGAGCGAUAGGCAAAUCCGUCGCUCACUAAUCCUGAGAGGUGACGCAUAGCCGGUUGAGGCGAAUUCGGUGAUCCUCUGCUGCCAAGAAAAGCCUCUAGCGAGCACACACACGGCCCGUACCCCAAACCGACACAGGUGGUCAGGUAGAGCAUACCAAGGCGUACGAGAUAACUAUGGUUAAGGAACUCGGCAAAAUGCCCCCGUAACUUCGGGAGAAGGGGGACCGGAAUAUCGUGAACACCCUUGCGGUGGGAGCGGGAUCCGGUCGCAGAAACCAGUGAGGAGCGACUGUUUACUAAAAACACAGGUCCGUGCGAAGUCGCAAGACGAUGUAUACGGACUGACGCCUGCCCGGUGCUGGAAGGUUAAGAGGACCCGUUAACCCGCAAGGGUGAAGCGGAGAAUUUAAGCCCCAGUAAACGGCGGUGGUAACUAUAACCAUCCUAAGGUAGCGAAAUUCCUUGUCGGGUAAGUUCCGACCUGCACGAAUGGCGUAACGACUUCUCAACUGUCUCAACCAUAGACUCGGCGAAAUUGCACUACGAGUAAAGAUGCUCGUUACGCGCGGCAGGACGAAAAGACCCCGGGACCUUCACUACAACUUGGUAUUGAUGUUCGGUACGGUUUGUGUAGGAUAGGUGGGAGACUGUGAAACCUCGACGCCAGUUGGGGCGGAGUCGUUGUUGAAAUACCACUCUGAUCGUAUUGGGCAUCUAACCUCGAACCCUGAAUCGGGUUUAGGGACAGUGCCUGGCGGGUAGUUUAACUGGGGCGGUUGCCUCCUAAAAUGUAACGGAGGCGCCCAAAGGUUCCCUCAACCUGGACGGCAAUCAGGUGGCGAGUGUAAAUGCACAAGGGAGCUUGACUGCGAGACUUACAAGUCAAGCAGGGACGAAAGUCGGGAUUAGUGAUCCGGCACCCCCGAGUGGAAGGGGUGUCGCUCAACGGAUAAAAGGUACCCCGGGGAUAACAGGCUGAUCUUCCCCAA
rnacentral:rRNA from 1 species